ensembl:snoRNA small nucleolar RNA U6-53/MBII-28
CUCCGAUGAUGAUCCAGCCAUGCUAAUACUGAUACACCAGCCAGAUGGUGUUUAUCUGCCUGGGUGUACAUGAGUUCAACUGACUUUCUCACGCUGAUUGUGUCAGUGUGGGCUGAGGAGA